AACGAACGCUGGCGGCAUGCCUAACACAUGCAAGUCGAACGAAGCCUUCGGGCUUAGUGGCGCACGGGUGCGUAACACGUGGGAAUCUGCCCUUCGGUUCGGAAUAACAGUUAGAAAUGACUGCUAAUACCGGAUGAUGACGUAAGUCCAAAGAUUUAUCGCCGAAGGAUGAGCCCGCGUAGGAUUAGGUAGUUGGUAGGGUAAUGGCCUACCAAGCCGACGAUCCUUAGCUGGUCUGAGAGGAUGAUCAGCCACACUGGGACUGAGACACGGCCCAGACUCCUACGGGAGGCAGCAGUGGGAAUAUUGGGACAAUGGGCGAAAGCCUGAUCCAGCAAUGCCGCGUGAGUGAUGAAGGCCUAGGGUGUAAGCUCUUUUACCAGGGAUGAUAAGUAGACAGUACCUGGAGAAUAAGACUCCGG
rnacentral:rRNA from 1 species